CUCCGAUCAGGUUUCUCUUUCCUUACGGGCAAAAGCGGGUUAAGUUUCGAUGGUAUCGCGGCAUCACUGUGGAGACCACCGCACACAGUGAUUGUGAACGCGUGGAAGCAUUCUACUUCCUCCAAGAAAAUGAAGACGGAAGUUGGUUUUUCUCAGGAGACAAGCUGCUGUUGGCUUUACAAGUGACAUCUCAGAGACCCUGUAGUUCAAAAGAGGACAGAUCAGAGCUCACAAUCAGAAAAUUUGGUUCAUCUUCAGUAACACCUUGGAAGCAUUUCCUGUGGAAGACUUCUUGCAAACAGGAGAGAUGUGUCCUUACGUGACUGGUUCCCUGUGACCACGUUAAGCCUUAUGUUUUACUUAACACGGAAGUGUGAGCUGUCCAGUACUUGGGAGGAUAGUUCAACAGGGUUAGGCCAAAUACCUGGACAUGCAAAAAUCCUCAGAGGAAGACUGUGGCCAUUUGAGCUCACAGUGUGAGCCACAGAACAUCCGGUCAUGGAGCUGGAAAACAAUUCAGUGAAGUAGACAUAAACAAGGGCCCAUUUGGGAGAGACCAGAGGUAUGCACAGAGUGAAAAGAAAUGAAGCAGACUCACACACCUGUGUAUAGAAGGCUGCAUUUCAAGGAAAGGAAGAAGAGGUUAUGACCAAUAAAAGGCAAGUGUUCGGGCUUAUACAGAGAUUUCAACACCUCAAGUAUGUUGUAAAG